rnacentral:rRNA from 1 species
AUUGAACGCUGGCGGCAGGCCUAACACAUGCAAGUCGAGCGGAUGAAGGGAGCUUGCUCCUGGAUUCAGCGGCGGACGGGUGAGUAAUGCCUAGGAAUCUGCCUGGUAGUUUGGGAUAACGUCCGGAAACGGGCGCUAAUACCGCAUACGUCCUGAGGGAGAAAGUGGGGGAUCUUCGGACCUCACGCUAUCAGAUGAGCCUAGGUCGGAUUAGCUAGUUGGUGGGGUAAAGGCCUACCAAGGCGACGAUCCGUAACUGGUCUGAGAGGAUGAUCAGUCAUACUGGAACUGAGACACGGUCCAGACUCCUACGGGAGGCAGCAGUGGGGAAUAUUGGACAAUGGGCGAAAGCCUGAUCCAGCCAUGCCGCGUGUGUGAAGAAGGUCUUCGGAUUGUAAAGCACUUUAAGUUGGGAGGAAGGGCAGUAAGUUAAUACCUUGCUGUUUUGACGUUACCAACAGAAUAAGCACCGGCUAACUUCGUG